CGAGACUAGAACACACAACCCUUCGAUUGGGAGUCCAACCCUCUAACCAUUAGGCCACGACUUCCCGAAAACAUGAGAUAACCGUAUUGCGAUGUGUCUGCAAACGUUAUCGCUAGACCAUAUUACGUUAUUAGCGUGUCAUUAUGUUAACGUUGCAUGCUUGAUGUGAGCAUUAACGUUGCUAAUAUGAGUGUGUAUUUACGUCUGAAGCUAAUGGGGGAAUUUAGUUUUGAGUUAAACUGUCAAAAUGACUUUUUACAUUCUUACAGGCUAUUGUGUAUGCUCGAUAACGCCUCACUGAAGCCGGAUCAUAGGACUAAUGUAGCCCAUAUUGACUUGAGAGAAAUAUUAAACAAGAUGUAUUUUACGGAUGUUUGGAAACCAUGGGAUCUUGACUAGAGUGUAAAAUAAAGUUCUGUGGGUUUGGAUCUAUCUAUCUAUCUAUCUAUCUAUCUAUCUAUCUAUCUAUCUAUCUUGAACUUGAAAAAUAAAACCCAAAGGUCUGUCUUUCUGAUUAGCUGUCUGCCUGCCUGUGUUACAUUAAUGUCUUUUUACCUAACUUUUUUGUCUCCCUUUACAGCAUACAUUUCCAGCUGGUUGCAAGGACUUCUGUGGCAAGUUGGUUUUAUUACUUCCAUGCUCUAUGUCUUUGUUGAACUAUCCAAAAUUUGGUUUUGGGCUGUUUCGAAUUUAUUGUUCACAAAUCUGUCUUGUGCAAGUUUCUCUCUGUCUGUGUUUUAGGUUGAAGUUGGCCGAGAGCGAUAAGUCGUACAGUUGCUGAUCUAGAAGCAUUAGGCAAGAGUGUCUGAGAACGAUGAGAGAACUCCCAUUAAUGGGAAUCAAAAGGAAACCCUGAAAUCAUUUUUUAAGGAUGGAAUGACACGAGUUGGUUCAGAAUUAAUACCAAGAGCUGCAUCAGCUACUGGUUUGGAAACCAGUGUCAUAGAAAUAAGAACUGGAUUGGUAAUUACAAAAGAUCGCAAAUGACCAAUGCUUUGUCUGAGCCCCGGCCAUCCAAAGCCAAAGUUCACAUUAGAGAGCUGUCGCCUUACAAUCUUUUUUGUAGGGACAUAUUCAAAAACAAAGGCACAAUGAAUGAUAUUAAGGGCAGGUGCGCCACAUUGGGGGAAGAUGCAAAGCAGAAAUACAUUCAAGAGGCAGCAGCACCAGUGGCGAAGCCAGGAUGUUUUUAUAGGGGUGGCCAAGUAAGGGCCAGCAACCAGUCUGGGGUGGCACAGAAAUCUUCAUUAUUUUAUAUAAAAAAUGUGUUUGACUAUAAUGUAGGCAUAAUGGGCUAUUUUAGUGCCUUAAACACAACUGAGUACAAUUAAUUUUUUUAUUAUUCCUCACCUCCAGGUAUUUUAAAAAAGGGGCUCACUUUAACUUUAUUGCUCAUUCAGCUUCUCAAAACUUGUAAAUGCUUGUUCUCCAACAUUAAUCAUGGAUGAGGCGUGCAAUGAUAAAAAAA